GAUGAAGAACGUAGCGAAAUGCGAUAAGUAAUGUGAAUUGCAGAAUUCCGUGAAUCAUCGAAUCUUUGAACGCACAUUGCGCCCCCUGGUAUUCCGGGGGGCAUGCCUGUCCGAGCGUCAUUGCAACCUUCAAGCGCGGCUUGUGUGUUGGGUCUCGUCCCCGGUGGACGGGCCCGAAAGGCAGUGGCGGCGUCCCGACAUGGUGCCCGAGCGUAUGGGAAUCCUCUUCCGCUCGAAUCGGCCCAUGCGGCGCUGGUCGUAACCAAAUUUUUUACCGGUUGACCUCGGAUCAGGUAGGGAUACCCGCUGAACUUAAGCAUAUCAAUAAGCGGAGGA
rnacentral:misc_RNA from 1 species